AUACUUACCUUAUUCCGAUUUACCUCGCUCAAGAAUGAGGGAAAUCAGCGUGGAGGGCCUGCAUUGCACAUCGCGGAGUCGCUCCAUGCUCCAUUGUCCUUCGGGGCCAUGGGGGGUGUAAUUUUUGAUUUAUCACAUGUUUUCAUUGUGCA
rnacentral:snRNA from 1 species